GCAAGUCGAGCGGAGGGUUUCGGCCCUCAGCGGCGAACGGGUGAGUAACACGUGGGUAACGUACCCUUUGGUGGGGAAUAACCUAGGGAAACCUGGGCUAAUACCGCAUAUGUCCUUCGGGAUGAAAGUCUUCGGACGCCAGGGGAUCGGCCUGCGGCCCAUUAUUUAAUCCUAGUUGGUAGGGUAACGGCCUACCAAGGGUACGAUGGGUAGCUGGUCUGAGAGGAUGAUCAGCCACACUGGAACUGAGACACGGUCCAGACUCCUACGGGAGGCAGCAGUGGGGAAUAUUGGACAAUGGGCGCAAGCCUGAUCCAGCCACGCCGCGUGGGUGAUGAAGGCCUUCGGGUUGUAAAGCCCUGUCGGAGGGGACGAAGUCUUCGGAUUGACGGUACCUUCCAAGAAAGCACCGGCUAACUCCGUGCCAGCAGCCGCGGUAAUACGGAGGGUGCAAGCGUUGCUCGGAAUUACUGG
rnacentral:rRNA from 1 species